GCUUUCGUGGUAUAAUUGGAAGUAUACUCGACAUAUAUUCGAGAGGUCCAGGGUUCGAGUCCCGGCGAGGGCA